rnacentral:rRNA from 1 species
GAUGAACGCUGGCGGCGUGCCUAAUACAUGCAAGUCGAGCGAACGGACGAGAAGCUUGCUUCUCUGAUGUUAGCGGCGGACGGGUGAGUAACACGUGGAUAACCUACCUAUAAGACUGGGAUAACUUCGGGAAACCGUAGCUAAUAGCGGAUAAUAUUUUGAACCGCAUGGUUCAAAAGUGAAAGACGGUCUUGCUGUCUCUUAUAGAUGGUUCCGCGCUGCAUUAGCUGGUUGGUAAGGUAACGGCUUACCAAGGCAACGAUGCAUAGCCGACCUGAGAGGGUGGUCGGCCACACUGGAAGUGAGACGCGGACCAGAGUCCUACGGGAGGCAGCAGUAGCGAAUCUGACGCAGUGGGGGGAAGCCUGACGGAGCAACGCGGAGUGAGUGAUGAAGGUGUUCGGAUCGUAAAACUCUGUUAUUAGGGAAAAACAGAUGUGUAAGUAACUGUGCACAUCUUGACGGUACCUAAUCAGAAAGCCACGGCUAACUACGUG